UGAAGACCUAAUGGAAUUAAUAAAAGAAAACAAAUAUUGGGUCCACCUGGAGAACAGCUGAAUAGGAAACCAUUUUCCAAAUACGUUACUUCCGGCCCAGAUUUCCACACAGAAGUCCUUCAGACCUGCAGGACCUGUGUUCAAAAGCACAGUCCUUGUUUGCCCUGUCUCCCAGCUUGUCUACUUCAAAAAACAAAGCUAAACUAAAGCCCACCGCCUGAAUGAUGUAAUAAAUAUUGCAGGAUGUAGAACUUUGUGAAUACACUGAGAAGUGAAACAUUUCAACACAAGAGCCCAGGGAACUCCCCUCAGCACUAGCCUGCAUGCUGUGGUUAGGUGGCAGAGAGAUACAGCUGGAGAUAUAGAGAUAACUGCCAGAGAAUGGGAAAAGCAGAAAAUUAGCCCAGACAGCCCCAGUGAUGUGGUUGGGCUGUUUCCCACACCUCAGAGUGCAUCUUCACAAUGGCACUGCAGCGUUCCUGCAGUUUUACGGAAAGCUGCUCACACGUGUCCACAUUGGUUCCUUCUGUCCUGCUGCUUGCAAUGGGGCUUGGGGAAGUCGGAAAGAGCACUGGCUCCUUCUGCACCUGCCCUCAGUCCAUCAGUGAUGGAUCGCUGCCUGUCUACUGAGUUAAACAACAGUUUUACUGCUUUAGAACUUGCAAGUGAAAAAUAGAGUAGUGUAAGACUGGAAGAAGGAAACCUCAUGAAUGGAUCUGAUGUAGUUUGGACAAAAGAUGCUGGGGGAGGACUACAGAGGAAGAAGUGGUAUUCAGUACAGCAUGAAGGCAGAAGAUGGCUCACAAAUGCUGGCUCAUUUCAACAGUAUCACACAGUGGAAAUGUUAGGAAGGUUCUGGCUGCUAGAAGUUCACCAAGUAAACACCAAGCACAGUGAUAGAAGGUGACUUUCAGUCAGGGAAGCUGGCGUGCAUGUUUUGGGACUGCUCCCCACAGUGAACCUCAGCAGGAAAAGUGGGAGGGAUCUGAUGCCAACCUUGAGUGCUAAGGUAUGCUUACUCUUUGCACUUACUAUGGCAGAGGGAGUAAUAAGAAGUGGAAAUAAAGCAUGGACAUUAUUUAAACCA
rnacentral:lncRNA from 1 species